CCGAGAAUAUUCGACAAUGGGCGAAAGCCUGAUCGAGCGAUACCGCGUGGUGGAUGAAGUGCUUCGGCACGUAAACAUCUUUUAUGAGGGAGGAAGUUAUUGACGUUACCUCAUGAAUAAGGGGCUCCUAACUCUGUGCCAGCAGGAGCGGUAAUACAGAGGCCCCGAGCAUUACCCGGAAUUACUGGGCGUAAAGAGUGCGUAGGUGGUCAUAUUAGUCGUCCGUUAAAUAUCCCGGCUCAACCGGGAACGUGCGGGCGAAACGGUAUGACUCGAGGGAGUGAGAGGUGAAUGGAACUCUAGGUGUAGGGGUGAAAUCCGUUGAUAUCUAGGGGAACACCGAAAGCGAAGGCAAUUCACUGGCACUUUCCUGACACUCAAGCACGAAAGCGUGGGUAGCGAACGGGAUUAGAUACCCGGGUAGUCC
rnacentral:rRNA from 1 species